rnacentral:rRNA from 1 species
UCAAGCUUAUCGAUACCGUCAGGGCUCGUAGGCGGCUCGUCGCGUCCGGUGUGAAAGUCCAUCGCUUAACGGUGGAUCUGCGCCGGGUACGGGCGGGCUGGAGUGCGGUAGGGGAGACUGGAAUUCCCGGUGUAACGGUGGAAUGUGUAGAUAUCGGGAAGAACACCAAUGGCGAAGGCAGGUCUCUGGGCCGUUACUGACGCUGAGGAGCGAAAGCGUGGGGAGCGAACAGGAUUAGAUACCCUGGUAGUCCACGCCGUAAACGGUGGAUGCUGGAUGUGGGGCCCGUUCCACGGGUUCCGUGUCGGAGCUAACGCGUUAAGCAUCCCGCCUGGGGAGUACGGCCGCAAGGCUAAAACUCAAAGAAAUUGACGGGGGCCCGCACAAGCGGCGGAGCAUGCGGAUUAAUUCGAUGCAACGCGAAGAACCUUACCUGGGCUUGACAUGUUCCCGACGAUCCCAGAGAUGGGGUUUCCCUUCGGGGCGGGUUCACAGGUGGUGCAUGGUCGUCGUCAGCUCGUGUCGUGAGAUGUUGGGUUAAGUCCCGCAACGAGCGCAACCCUCGCCCCGUGUUGCCAGCGGAUUAUGCCGGGAACUCACGGGGGACCGCCGGGGUCAACUCGGAGGAAGGUGGGGAUGACGUCAGAUCAUCAUGCCCCUUACGUCCAGGGCUUCACGCAUGCUACAAUGGCCGGUACAACGGGAUGCGACAGUGCGAGCUGGAGCGGAUCCCUGAAAACCGGUCUCAGUUCGGAUCGCAGUCUGCAACUCGACUGCGUGAAGGCGGAGUCGCUAGUAAUCGCGGAUCAGCAACGCCGCGGUGAAUGCGUUCCCGGGCCUUGUACACACCGCCCGUCAAGUCAUGAAAGUGGGCAGCACCCGAAGCCGGUGGCCUAACCCCUUGUGGGAUGGAGCCGUCUAAGGUGAGGCUCGUGAUUGGGACUAAGUCGUAACAAGGUAGCCGUACCGGAAGGUGCGGCUG